UGGAAUAUAGCCAAAUGGUAAGGCAUGCGUUUUUGAAGCGCUGUAUUGAAAGUUCGAAUCUUUCUAUUCCAU
rnacentral:tRNA from 1 species